AGGAAUAAAACUUGCUGCUGAGAAGAACAUUUUGGAAGCUUUGUUGACUGGAAGAGGUGUCUCUGGGAUUCCCAUUCCUAGAUCUUUGUUUAGGGCCAUGAGGACACAGAAGGUCACAGUGCCUCUGAUCUUUGCCAUCUCCAUUGCUACAAUAGGCUCUUUCCAGUUUGGCUACAACACCGGAGUCAUCAAUGCUCCUGAGAUGACCAUAAAGGACUUUCUCAAUUACACCCAGGAGGAGACGUUGAAUGACCGUCCCACUGAGGUGUUACUCACUUCCCUUGGGUCCUUGUCUGUGGCCAUCUUCUCCAUUGGUGGUAUGAUUGGCUCCUUCUCCGUUGGACUCUUUGUCAACCGCUUUGGCAGGCGCAAUUCAAUGCUCAUUGUCAACCUCUUGGCUAUCGCUGGUGGCUGCCUUAUGGGGUUCUGCAAAAUAGCCCAGUCGGUUGGAAUGCUGAUCCUGGGCCGGUUGGUUAUUGGCCUCUUCUGUGGCCUUUGCACAGGUUUUGUGCCCACAUACACUGACGAGGUCUCUCCCACUGCCCUACGGGGGGCCUUUGGCACUCUCAACCAGCUGGGCAUCGUCAUCGGGAUCCUGGUGGCUCAGAUCUUUGGUCUGAAAGUCAUCAUGGGGACCGAAGAGCUUUGGUCCCUGCUUUUGGGUUUCACCAUCAUUCCAGCUGUCCUGCAAAGCGCAGCUCUUCCAUUUUGCCCCGAGAGUCCUAGAUUUUUGCUCAUCAACAGAAAGGAAGAGGAGAGUGCUAGGGAGAUCCUCCAGCAAUUGUGGGGCACCCAGGACGUGACUCAGGACAUCCAGGAGAUGAAAGAUGAGAGCACGAGGAUGGCAUAAGAGAAGCAAGCCACAGUACUGGAAUUCUUCAGAUCACGCAGCUACCAGCAGCCCAUUAUGAUUUCCAUCAUGCUCCAGCUGUUCCAGCAGCUGUCUGGAAUCAAUUCUGUGUUCUAUUAUUCAACAGGAAUCUUCAAAGAUGCAGGUGUUCGGAGCCAAUCUGUGCCACCAUCAGUGAGGGAGUAGUUAAUACCAUCUUCACUGUUGUCUCUCUGUUUCUGGUAGAAAGGGCAGGGAGGAGGACUCUACAUAUGACUGGCCUUGGAGGGAUGGCUGUUUGUUCCAUCUUUAUGACCAUGUCAUUGUUACUAAAGGAUGGCUAUAAUUGGAUGAGCUUUGUUUGUAUCAGGGCUAUCUCGGUCUUUGUGGCCUUCUUUGAAAUUGGCCCAGGCCCCAUUCCCUGGUUUAUCGUGGCCGAACUCUUCAGCCAAGGACCCCGCCCAGCUGCAAUGGCAGUGGCUGGUUGUUCCAACUGGACCUCCAACUUCCUGGUUGGGUUCCUCUUCCCUUCAGCUGCAUUCUAUUUAGGAGCCUAUGUUUUUAUCAUAUUCACUGGCUUCCUCAUACUCUUCUUGGUCUUCACCUUCUUCAAAGUCUGAGACUCGUGGCAGGACUUUUGAGGAAAUCACAUGAGCCUUCGAGGGGCAGGCUCGGGAGGGAGGCUAACAGAGCUGAGAAAGGCCCCAUCAUGGAGAUGAACAGCAUCCAGCCCAUGAAGGAAACUGCCACCAUCUAAGCCAUGCCUCCUUCCCGCCUCCCUUCCAACAUGGAAAAGCAACCUCUCCCCAGAUGAGGGAGAGACCUCAUCAGCUUGUAACCCAGGACUGUUUCUGAAUGCUGCUACUUGAUUCCUUUCUCUUCCCACACACUCCAUGAGCACUCAGAGGAACCCAGUGCAGGAGUUAGUUGUAUCUUCAAUGGCUUUUGAAAAAUUUCAUUUCUUGGACAUUCUCUUCUGUUUAGGAGAGACCAAGCAAACCUACCUUCAUUUCAGGAGGAAUUGGCCACUUGCCAUCUGACAGCAUUGUCAUCUCUUCCUCCCUUGGGUUCUAAUAGGGCCUCACCAGGGCCAAUAUGGGAGGGGAGUAAGAGUGAGGUGCAGUUUCCCUGACCCCAGACUUCCCAGGAAGCAGAUCUAUGAGUGUGGAGGGCAGAGAGGGAUUAAAUAAGAGCACUGUCCUCGCUUCCAUACAGCUCUGCAGAGCAAAUUAACUUGAGUUUUAUUUAUUUUAUCUUCUGGUUUUAUUGCAUAAAUAUUUAUUCUUUUAAGUGUAAAAUAAUUUUACCAAAUAAUGAAAACAGAAGGAAAUUGAGGAUAGAGGGAGGUGCUUGAAGAGAGGUUCUAGGGUAGAAGAUUUGAUACUGGAGAGGUCGAGGUGCAAUAAGGGGAAGAUUCAGGGAGAAGUAUAAUGUGUUCUCAGAGGGUACAUGAUGGGGUGUGUGAACUUUGCACAUUGCCUCUUAACCUUCAGGUGGAAACUCUCAAGUUUAAUUUCUCAGAAAAGUGAUGUGCCUGUAUUAAGAAGCUACUGGUUACCUUUAGAACUUUUUUCUUUGUUUAAAAUUAUAUGUAGUGUUACUUGAAAUCUAGGGUUAUUAAAAUGGGCAUUAUAGCUAAUGGUGGUGGAUGGGUUCUAAUUUUGGUUGGAGUCCAGAGAAGGGAAGGUUAUUUCUAGAUAUCCUUUCUCCCCUCACUGGACAAAACAACUUCUUCCCCUUAUAGUGGACUCACUGCAGGGGGUGGGGGUUAAAGUAUUCCUAAUACCCGCCUGGUGGGAGAGCCUUCCAAAUGAGGAACCCAAAAUAGUGAUUCUUGGUAGAGGUUCUGUAUUUCUCCAUUUUGUUCUUUAGGAGAUUUUAGUUGUUGAUAUUUUGUUUUAAGCCAUAGCUUUAAAAGAAUUCAAAGGAGAAUGUUCAUAAACUAACUUGGAAUUUGUAACCUCAGCUCUGGGAGAGGAUUUUUCCUGAACGAUUAUUAUCUAGUUGAAGUAUGUUGUUGCUAAAGGUCAUCACAUGCUUGUUCUGUUGCCAUAUUCGCAUAGUAUGAUGUCAAGUGCCCUUAGGGGACCAUACAUUUGGGAUAAUAUGAGUAAAUGUGCAGGGUAGCCCACACUUGAGAGAGUAUGAAUGUAUGUGCACUGUCACUUUGCUCUGGUGGAAGUAGAUGGCUGGUAACUUGUGUCCUUUAUGUACCUACAGCCCCCUUUUGAAUAGAAUGUGUUCAAACUCAUCUCUCUCUAUAUAAAGAACACUGCCUCUGCUGGGUGGAAUUUGCAUCUGUUUCAUUCCAGACUUCAGAGUUCAGACGCAUUUGGCUACCUUUCCUUGUUGGACAACUGGGGGGAGAACUCCUUAAAUCGUGAGAUUGAGGGUGGAGGACUCUGCUUCCCCCUAGACCCAGACAAUGGCAGUAUGAAAGGAAAAUGUGAGAUCAGAACAUGUGGCCUCUUGGAGGGAAGUCGUAGGGGAGAAGGAGCCUUUCUUUUAAGGGGUGAGAAACAAACUGAAGACUUCUAACUCUGGAGCAUUUUAGAGAGCCAGAUGAGGUGGAGGGAUGUACACUUGCCCCAGGUCAUGGACACCUGUACAAUCAUCUAGUUUCCCAGUAUUUUUAUAAAUGGAGAUUGGGCCCCAUGACACCUACUCUGUCUUCCUUCUUUCAUAUGUUGCUUGAUCAGCCUUUCUCUCCUUGGUGCUUACAUACUUCAGACCUUUUAGCCAAACCCUUGCCUAUGACAAUAUUUUAGUCACCAGUUGUCACUGUUCCCCCGGUCAUUGAGCGUUUUGGGGGAAAAAACAGCUUAUAUGGAAUGGGGCUUGGUUCAACAGGUGACUUUAACUGCACCUCUACUUCUGGUUCCUCAAAACCAGUGGGUUGGCAGUAAUGCUGUGUGGAAGUUUUCCCAUUUCUCAGUGACCAGAUUGUGAAUAUUUCCAAAUGGGUUUUCUAUUAUUAAUGUUACUGUGAUUCUUUGUUUUGAAAUAAAAAUUCUGAAUGU